rnacentral:rRNA from 1 species
UACGAAGGGGGCUAGCGUUGUUCGGAAUUACUGGGCGUAAAGCGCACGUAGGCGGAUUGUUAAGUUAGGGGUGAAAUCCCAGGGCUCAACCCUGGAACUGCCUUUAAUACUGGCAAUCUCGAGUCCGAGAGAGGUGAGUGGAAUUCCGAGUGUAGAGGUGAAAUUCGUAGAUAUUCGGAGGAACACCAGUGGCGAAGGCGGCUCACUGGCUCGGUACUGACGCUGAGGUGCGAAAGCGUGGGGAUCAAACAGG